ensembl:lncRNA
CACGCACACACAACCGGAGAUAGAUAGGAGCCGAGAAGACCUCUCGAUGCAUUGUCAUUGCGUCACGCGGAGCGCCAUCCUAUAGGCUGUAGCAGCGGUGGUCCCCGUGCCUCCUCUCCUCCGUCAGAGGAUUCGCGAGUCGUUGCUCCGACCUAUUGCGAUGAACCACUUCCAACGUCAUGUUCAGAGCGAUGACACACAAAGUGUAGUGGGCUACGGUACUGUGUAUUGCGCUCUACGGCAACGCCGCGCCGAGGCUCGGAUCAGGAAGUGAAUUUCAAGAAAACAGAAAAUCAGGAGGUAGAAUGACAUAGGGGAGAGGUGGAAUAGAUCAAGCUAGAAGGCACAAACCAACAGACGGAGGGAUCGACCCAAUCCUGGAUCCUCUUUUCGGUUAUUCGGGGACGUAUUGGACGGCAACAUGCUUAUAAAGGAAUUCCGAGUAAUCCUGCCUAUCUCUGUCGAGGAGUGCAAAGUUGGCAUUAAAAGUUAUUAGGAAAUGAACAGGAGCCUUUGUCCUGGCUCUACACCUAAGUGUGCACAAGGA